UGGGGGAUAACGCAUCGAAAGGUUGGCUAAUAUCGCAUACGCCCUACGGGGGAAAGCAGGGGAUCUUCGGACCUUGCGUUAAUGNGAGCGNCUGAUAUCUGAUUAGCUAGUUGGUGAGGUAAAGGCUCACCAAGGCGACGAUCAGUAGCUGGUCUGAGAGGACGACCANCCACACUGGAACUGAGACACGGUCCAGACUCCUACGGGAGGCAGCAGUGGGGAAUUUUGGACAAUGGGCGCAAGCCUGAUCCAGCCAUUCCGCGUGAGUGAAGAAGGCCUUCGGGUUGUAAAGCUCUUUCGCAAGGGAAGAAAACUUACUUUUUAAUAAAGAGUGAGGUNUGACGGUACCUUGAUAAGAAGCACCGGCUAACUACGUGCCAGCANCCGCGGUAAUACGUAGGGUGCGAGCGUUAAUCGGAAUUACUGGGCGUAAAGCGUGCGCAGGCGGCUUUGUAAGUCAGAUGUGAAAUCCCCGAGCUCAACUUGGGAACUGCGUUUGAAACUACAAGGCUAG
rnacentral:rRNA from 1 species